UCCGAGUUGACCCCGGCAGUCUCCUAUGAGUCCCCACCAUCACGUGCUGGCAACAUAGGACGAGGGUUGCGCUCGUUGCGGGACUUAACCCAACAUCUCACGACACGAGCUGACGACAACCAUGCACCACCUGUGCACGACCCUUACGGACCCCACAUCUCUGCGGGAUUUCCGUGCAUGUCAAGCCUAGGUAAGGUGGGGAUGACGUGACACGCAAUAACA
rnacentral:misc_RNA from 1 species